rnacentral:pre_miRNA from 18 species
AAGAGGCGAUUCUGCCCGUGACAUCAAGAUGCUUGUGAUUAUGCGAAAAUGUUGGGACAUAUCACAGUUUACUUGCUGUCGCAGGCGGAUUAUUGCUA